GACGAACCACACAAACGUUCUUCGGAAUUACUGGGCUUAAAGGGUGCGUAGGCGGCGCUAAAAGUUGGGUGUGAAAUCCCUCGGCUUAACCGAGGAACUGCGCCCAAUACUGUAGUGCUUGAGGGAGAUAGAGGUGAGCGGAACUUAGGGUGGAGCGGUGAAAUGCGUUGAUAUCCUAAGGAACACCCGUGGCGAAAGCGGCUCACUGGAUCUUCUCUGACGCUGAGGCACGAAAGCUAGGGUAGCAAACGGG
rnacentral:rRNA from 1 species